CGUUCUAUGGCCAAACUUGUUAAGGCAUAGCCGAUUAGAGAUGAAGAUGCGGGUUCGAGUCCCGCUGGAACGG
rnacentral:tRNA from 1 species